CAGGAUGAACGCUAGCUACAGGCUUAACACAUGCAAGUCGAGGGGCAGCAUUUCAGUUUGCUUGCAAACUGGAGAUGGCGACCGGCGCACGGGUGAGUAACACGUAUCCAACCUGCCGAUAACUCGGGGAUAGCCUUUCGAAAGAAAGAUUAAUACCCGAUGGCAUAAUUAGACCGCAUGGUCUUAUUAUUAAAGAAUUUCGGUUAUCGAUGGGGAUGCGUUCCAUUAGGCAGUUGGUGAGGUAACGGCUCACCAAACCUUCGAUGGAUAGGGGUUCUGAGAGGAAGGUCCCCACAUUGGAACUGAGACACGGUCCAAACUCCUACGGGAGGCAGCAGUGAGGAAUAUUGGUCAAUGGGCGCAGGCCUGAACCAGCCAAGUAGCGUGAAGGAUGACUGCCCUAUGGGUUGUAAACUUCUUUUAUAUGGGAAUAAAGUUUUCCACGUGUGGAAUUUUGUAUGUACCAUAUGAAUAAGGAUCGGCUAACUCCGUGCCAGCAGCCGCGGUAAUACGGAGGAUCCGAGCGUUAUCCGGAUUUAUUGGGUUUAAAGGGAGCGUAGGUGGACAGUUAAGUCAGUUGUGAAAGUUUGCGGCUCAACCGUAAAAUUGCAGUUGAUACUGGCUGUCUUGAGUACAGUAGAGGUGGGCGGAAUUCGUGGUGUAGCGGUGAAAUGCUUAGAUAUCACGAAGAACUCCGAUUGCGAAGGCAGCUCACUGGACUGCAACUGACACUGAUGCUCGAAAGUGUGGGUAUCAAACAGGAUUAGAUACCCUGGUAGUCCACACAGUAAACGAUGAAUACUCGCUGUUUGCGAUAUACAGUAAGCGGCCAAGCGAAAGCAUUAAGUAUUCCACCUGGGGAGUACGCCGGCAACGGUGAAACUCAAAGGAAUUGACGGGGGCCCGCACAAGCGGAGGAACAUGUGGUUUAAUUCGAUGAUACGCGAGGAACCUUACCCGGGCUUAAAUUGCAUUUGAAUAUAUUGGAAACAGUAUAGCCGUAAGGCAAAUGUGAAGGUGCUGCAUGGUUGUCGUCAGUUCGUGCCGUGAGGUGUCGGCUUAAGUGCCAUAACGAGCGCAACCCUUAUCUUUAGUUACUAACAGGUCAUGCUGAGGACUCUAGAGAGACUGCCGUCGUAAGAUGUGAGGAAGGUGGGGAUGACGUCAAAUCAGCACGGCCCUUACGUCCGGGGCUACACACGUGUUACAAUGGGGGGUACAGAAGGCAGCUACCUGGUGACAGGAUGCUAAUCCCAAAAGCCUCUCUCAGUUCGGAUCGAAGUCUGCAACCCGACUUCGUGAAGCUGGAUUCGCUAGUAAUCGCGCAUCAGCCAUGGCGCGGUGAAUACGUUCCCGGGCCUUGUACACACCGCCCGUCAAGCCAUGAAAGCCGGGGGUACCUGAAGUACGUAACCGCAAGGAGCGUCCUAGGGUAAAACUGGUA
rnacentral:rRNA from 1 species